AACGAACGCUGGCGGCAUGCCUAACACAUGCAAGUCGAACGAGACCUUCGGGUCUAGUGGCGCACGGGUGCGUCACGCGUGGGAACCUGCCCUUAGGUUCGGAAUAACUCCCCGAAAGGGGUGCUAAUACCGGAUAAUGUCUUCGGACCAAAGAUUUAUCGCCUUUGGAUGGGCCCGCGUUGGUUUAGCUAGUUGGUAGGGUAAAAGCCUACCAAGGCGGCGAUCCAUAGCUGGUCUGAGAGGAUGAUCAGCCACACUGGGACUAAGACACGGCCCAGACUCCUACGGGAGGCAGGAGUGGGGAAUAUUGGACAAUGGGCGGAAGGCUGAAGCAGCAAUGCCGCGUGAGUGAUGAAGGCCUUAGGGUUGUAAAGCUCUUUUACCCGGGAUGAUAAUGACAGUACCGGGAGAAUAAGCACCGGCUAACUCCGUG
rnacentral:rRNA from 1 species